UACGGAGGGUCCAAGCGUUAUCCGGAAUCAUUGGGUUUAAAGGGUCCGUAGGCGGUUUUGUAAGUCAGUGGUGAAAGCCCAUCGCUCAACGGUGGAACGGCCAUUGAUACUGCAAGACUUGAAUUACUAGGAAGUAACUAGAAUAUGUAGUGUAGCGGUGAAAUGCUUAGAUAUUACAUGGAAUACCAAUUGCGAAGGCAGGUUACUACUAGUUGAUUGACGCUGAUGGACGAAAGCGUGGGGGAGCGAACAGG
rnacentral:rRNA from 1 species